ensembl:lncRNA
GUGUGUGUGUGUGUGUGUGUGUGUGUGUGAUUCUCCAUCUCUUUUGGGUGGGCUUCAUCCGUUCAGACUUUAUACUCUUUCAUACAUGACUGUUUGAAGGUUUUUACAUCCCCCAGCAGCAAAUCAGCAUAUUAUAGUGAUUUCUGAAGAUCAUGUGACACUGAAGACUGGAGUAAUGAUGCUGAAAAUUCAGCUUUGCCUCACAGGUGUGUGUGAGUGAACAUGUUCUGAAGAAUACCAGAAAAGACGAAUCCCACAGCAGCCAAUUAAAAUGCUGCCCAACUGAAAAGACUAUUUCCUCUGGGCAACUGCAGGUUCUUUUGCGGUU